rnacentral:rRNA from 1 species
AAUGAACGUUGGCGGCAUGGAUUAGGCAUGCAAGUCGAGCGAGAAGCGUUUUUUUGCUUGCAUUAAAACGUGGAAAGCGGCGAAAGGGAGAGUAAUGCGUGGAUAACGUACCCCGGGGUCCGGAAUAGCUGCGGGAAACUGCAGGUAAUGCCGGAUAACGUCUUCGGACCAAAGGUGUGAUUCCGCCCUCGGAGCGGUCCGCGUCCUAUUAGCUUGUUGGUGGGGUAAUGGCUCACCAAGGCGACGAUGGUACCGGGUGUGAGAGCAUGACCCGGCUCACUGGGACUGAGACACUGCCCAGACACUUACGGGUGGCUGCAGUCGAGAAUCUUCGGCAAUGGGCGCAAGCCUGACCGAGCGAUGCCGCGUGCGGGAUGAAGGCCUUCGGGUUGUAAACCGCUGUCAGUUGGGAGGAAAUUCUAGGAGGCAAUCCUCCUAGAUUGACCUAUCUUCAGAGGAAGGGCGGGCUAAGUUCGUG